UUUAUGGCUCAGUGGUAGAGUGCUCGUCUUGCAUGGGUGCAGCACUGGGUUCAAUCCUCAGCACCACAUAAAA
rnacentral:tRNA from 1 species